UGGGUCGUGACAUCACUAAGAAUGGUAGCAAUCACUUUUUAGAGACUUGAAGUAAAAAUCUUUGCAAUUAUCUUGUAUAGUAUAGUACAACAAGCAAAUGGUUGAAAUUCCUUAACAGUAGUGGGGCUAACUGUUUUAGGAACCAGAGCAAUCAAGGUGCAGUUUACUGGUCUAUACAUCUUACCAAUAUUGAAGAACUCUUUGACAUCUGCAAUUAAGUCAUGUUUAAUGGUAUACCAGGUCUUCUUAUAGAAGUGAGCAUUGUAGCCAUCUAUGUCAGGAGCUUUAUCAUCUUUGAUACUUUUUAAUGCCUCUAUUAUCUCCUCACUUGUUACAUCUCUACUCAAUUCUAGCCCUUGAGCAUAGCUUAGAAUCUUCCCCUUUUUCAUAGUAAUUAAGUUGACUACUGGGAGAGUUUGAGAGGAAGUACCCAUCAGAUUUUUGUAAAACUCUACAAUCUCCUUUUGUAUAUCUUCAGUAGCAGAGAGUUUGUGGCCAGUCAAAGAGGCACUGAUCUUACUGGGGGAAAUCACUCAGGUUAUAUGCAUAUGUAGGUUUAGAUAUAUCUCUGAUCGGAGGCAAGGGAGAAUUGGAUCUCUGUCUGUUAGGACUAUGCUGGGGUUGAAUAGAAGAAUUUUGAGGCGCAUGAUGUCUAGUACCACUGGAUUCUCCCACUUCAAGCACCUUUGUCACUUCUACUUCUUUACCCGUUGUGUUAUCCACCACUGUAGGGGCUUGUGCUAUUGUUAUCUUCCUUUUACAUGGACAUUCUUGCUCCAUCUUUUUGUAAGGCUCCUUUGGUUUACCUUGCUCCUUAGGGUUGGGUAGACAACUAUGACCAACUACUUUGCAAUAAGAGCAAAACGUAGGCUUCCAGUCGUAAAUAACUGAUUGUUUAAACUUUCUCCCAUUAGGCUCCAUUACUAGCACUUCAUUAGGCAAGUCCUUUGUAACAUUUACCUCAAUUAGCAUUUGAGCAACGGAUAUUCUAGUCUGCUUAGUUGUACACCCAUCCACAUAGACAGAAAUGUCAAUGACACUGGCUAUUCUACUUAGUGAAUCUCUUACCUAGUAGAACAUCGGAAGCUUGGGAAAUUUAACCCGCAGAGGUAUCUCUGUAGGAUAUUCUGUGUUGAAAUCAAAGUCCAUCGGCCAAGGCUUCAGAAUAAUGGGGGGUCUGUUAUUAACAGUAUAAGGUCCUGAAUAGAGCACCUCUUCCAUAUCUUCAAUAGAUGCAAAUCGAACGACAUAAUAUCCCUCCUCGUGAUGAUACUGCUCUGCGGCAACUACAUGGUCCAGUAUUGUCUAAUAUAUCUACUCAGUGCAUUAUAACCUGGGGUAUCCCCUACAAAAUAUGCUAUUAGAGCACAAUUCCAUUUAGCUGCUUCUUUAUCAACUUUCUAUUUCUCAAGUGGCACCACUGCUUGUUCCUCAAUUAGUUGGGGGGGGGGGGGUGUAUGAUAGCGAAAGUCCAUUUGCAGCAGCCCUAUUUUUUGUAAAUAAGCUCACCCAUGGAGCAACCGGUGUUUCAAUUUAUUCUUCUUGGAUUUACGCAGGGGCGGGAUUUGGGAUUUCUGCUUCAGUGAUUAUUCCUGGAUUCGAUCUAGACCCUUACUCCACUUGCACAAUAUUGGUCAAAUUAGGAUUAGAUUGAUUAGUACCUGACACUCCUUGACUAUGGGGGAGGGGGUUAAAAUCAGGCACUUUGAGAUUCCCCUCUGUCCUAGCUCAUCUUCCUCUGUCUAUAUCACUUCUCUGUCGGUUGUUCAAUCGGGUGUGACCAAAGGUGUUAUGUUGCGAGCUCCAUGUGACUCUCUAACAUUUGUUAUCAAAUUAAUUCUAGGUCUUCCUUAUCCUCUACCUCUUCCACGGUCGCGACCUUAUGUUCUAUCCAUGGCAGCCACCACCAGCGUACGUUAGACUAACGUGCGCCGAGAGCCAUCUAAUUUUGACUAACAUUAGACUAAUGCAGAAGAUCAUUGUAGUUACUAAGGUGCAUAAAUCAUGGGAUUUAUGCAUCAGAAAACAAAAGAAUUUGUUGUCCAAAAAUAUCAAGACGUAUUCCACGAAAAGAGAAAGAUUUGUUGCUCUAAAUAGAUUGAAGAAAAACUCGAAAAAAGAUAUUGUUAAGUAUCAAGAGACACAACAUUCUAGGAAAGAAGAAAGUUCUGUUGCAUUAAAUGAAUUGCUUAAAUCAAGGGAUUGUCACAUCUCUCUCUUCUAGGUAUAUAUUGUACUUAUUUAGAUUUUCCUAGUCUUUACUUGUUCUUCAUUUUCUUAAGAAGAAAAUCAUUUGGUUGCCUUCUAACUUCCAACGGCUAGUAGUAGUUCAAUCAUUACUAUAUAAGCAUUGAAAGUCAAAAGAAGAAAUAUACAUUUGUCUCAACCUUAUCUAGUUUUUUGCUCUACUUUACUCAAACAUUGUAUUCUCUUAAAAGUUUAUUGUGUACUCAAAAAGAGAGAAAGAAACACAUAGUUGGUGGGGCAUUGGAUCAAAGUGAGAAAGAAAGAAAGAGAGUGUGAGUUUAAGUUAAAAAGCUUGAUUUAAUCUUGUACUUUGAUUUUAUUGAAUCUCUUGCAAUCCAAGGGGACUGGAGUAAAACCUAUUAGAGAUCUCAAUUAAUAUAAAAUAUCUGGUGUUAUUUACCUUUAGGACUUUAUUUUUUGAAGUUUUUAUUACUUCAAUCAAUAGUCGGUUGUCUAUUGAAGGAAGACGAUUGUUUGGUCGAAAAAAGAGUAAUUCUCCCCCUCUCUUACUACUUUCGAUAUUGGGGGUUCGAACUCGAGGAAUAGAGAAAUUUUUAGUUAAGACAUUUGGAGCUUUCACUGCCUUCUGCUGGAAUUGUUAAAGAGGUUUUUUUUUUUUUAAUGAUUCAUGAUUGUCUAGCGAUGUAUAUCUUUGGAGUAUAGAAUACAUUUUCUUUCUUCAUAUUUUAGUGGUAUACAGUAGUAAGAGAUACAUUAUAUCACAAUGCAUGUUGUAUACUAUUGAUAUAUGAGUAUACCUCUCUUCCAAUGUGAUGCCACCACGAUUAAAGCC